CAGCGGAGGGAUCAUUACCGAGUUUACAACUCCCAAACCCCUGUGAACAUACCUUAAUGUUGCCUCGGCGGAUCAGCCCGCGCCCCGUAAAACGGGACGGCCCGCCAGAGGACCCAAACUCUAAUGUUUCUUAUUGUAACUUCUGAGUAAAACAAACAAAUAAAUCAAAACUUUCAACAACGGAUCUCUUGGUUCUGGCAUCGAUGAAGAACGCAGCAAAAUGCGAUAAGUAAUGUGAAUUGCAGAAUUCAGUGAAUCAUCGAAUCUUUGAACGCACAUUGCGCCCGCUGGUAUUCCGGCGGGCAUGCCUGUUCGAGCGUCAUUUCAACCCUCAAGCCCCCGGGUUUGGUGUUGGGGAUCGGCUCUGCCCUUCUGGGCGGUGCCGCCCCCGAAAUACAUUGGCGGUCUCGCUGCAGCCUCCAUUGCGUAGUAGCUAACACCUCGCAACUGGAACGCGGCGCGGCCAUGCCGUAAAACCCCAACUUCUGAAUGUUGACCUCGGAUCAGGUAGGAAUACCCGCUGAACUUAAGCAUAUCAAUAAGCGGAGGAA
rnacentral:rRNA from 1 species